rnacentral:rRNA from 1 species
AUGAAGCAGGCGAUCGAGCUCGUCCCGUUUCCUAUGCCCUCCUGUGGCAGCACGCGCACGAGCCGGCUCGGCUCGACCCGACGCGACUCGGGGUCCAGUCCGUACGACCAAGGCGGCGCGGCCGGCCUAGAACCUCCGUUAAACCCCAGGCCACCUCGCCGGCCUCGACCACCCCGCCGGCCGCGAAGCCCCUCGCCGGCGCCGGACGGCCGCGUCCUCCUCCCGCCCGCCGGCCGCGCCACCCUGCUCGGCGCCUGCCAACAACACCGGCCUCCUCGAGUUCCACGACGGCCCGCUCCACUCCGACCAAGCCGCCGGCCUCCUGCACGUUCGACGGGCGCCAAGUCCGACCGGCCACCUGCUCCUGGCGUCCUGUUGGACGCCCGCCUCCUGACCUCCUCCUGUUCCACGUCCGCGGCCAUCACGGGCACGGCUGGAGGAGUUGAAAAACAACAGGAAGAGAAGUACAAUGUUGAAAGGCUUGACUUCGACGGUAGUUAUAAAGACAUUGGGGUGGACUUCAGGGAAUUGAUUACCGGUUUUGAUGGGCAGCUGGAUACCUACAAAGUAUUGGUAGAUCUUGCUCAUGCAACUCGUAAACAAAUAAUCAAAGCCUCGUGCCGCAACGUGGUCACCAUUUCCGAACCAAUGCGAUUUCCAAUCCUAUUCAAGCUACACGUCACAAACUUUCAGGAAGGUAAUCUGUGUGCUGUAUUAGAUGCUUCAGUCAAGAAAGAUGAGACAUAUCGGAAUAUAUCUUCUCAUUUCAACGACUGGAGCAAUUACUCUGAGAGAUGCAGAAAAGGAAGGGUACAGUUUGCUGCAGAAUGUGAAAGGUUUUACCAAGAGCUACGCAAGGACCUAAUACCAGGAAUUCCAACUUUUGAUGCUUUGCUAACUUUUGUGGGUCUUUUGUCAAAUAAAGACCAUAAAAAAAUUCAUAAGCAAGAGCAGUCUGCAAAGCACAUCAAACAUUCUUCUGUAAACCCAGAUGAUCGCAGUAAGGGUGGUCGGGAUGAGGACCCUCCGAGUGAUAAAGAUGAGAAUAAUCAAGAAAGACAGAAGAACAAGGAUACCUCUUCAGCUUGGUUUUUUGAGUCCCAUGUGAUGCCAUACCAUUGGAUUGGAAUGACGACAAAGGUGAUGAUAUGCGUGCCGGCGGACUACAACAUGCAGCUGCUCGAUGCCAUCUACUACAACUUCAUUGACGCUCUCCCAGUGGUCAGCUAUUGCUCAGAGAACAUUAAGCUUCUGUUCUACUUUACCUCUGAGAUAUGUGGCAAGAUCAUCGGCCGCUUCAUCGCCAAGGAUCAUCCCCACCAUAAGGAAACUGAUUUUUUCGAGCUGAAAGUUGGCGAGUCACCCUACAUCUUUGGUCCAAUUGUGAAGCAGAGGCGAUCCUACUCAUGUGUGACGCCGCUUAUUUUCUCUGAGGAUUUAGAAAAUGAUUUUGAAUUCACGGUUGUGAGGCCUUUCAAUUGGACUGGACCAAUGAUGGACUUCAUUCCUGACACUGAUGGUCCCAGGGAGGGCGUUCCACGGGUUUUGGCUUGCUUCAAUAAAAAUCUCCUCCGCAGAGAGACCUGGAAGCUUGCUGAUGGCGGGAAUUCUCAGAGAACUUAUGUUUGCAUCAAGGAAGCCAUUGAUGCAGCUCUUCUUUUGAUGAUUGCACAUGGUCAUGUCCCAGGAGAGCAACCUUUGAUUGCUAUGAGUUCCAAACGACUCUAUGGUGAAGGAUACAACGACAGGAUUCUUGAUGUUACUCUAAUCAUAGAGCAGCUAGUAGGUCACAUCUCCACUGUUGGGGGUCCGAGCACAUUCACUGCUAGGGAAUUUACUGAAAUGAUGACAUGUGCACCUUUGAUUGAGGCGAGCGCAGAGCAGUUCUUGGGCAAAGGAUAUGACGGCAGCGACGACAAGAGGAUUCCAGGCGUGACCCCGAUCAACAAAAAGCAGCUAGGAGAGCCACUGCUGGAGGAUCCUUUGAUUGAGGCGAGCACAGAACAGUCUUUGGGCGAAGGAUACGACGACAGCAACAAGAGGAUUCCUGAUGUGACGCUGAUCAACAAGCAGCUAGGGUGGAACCCAAACGAUGCCUCUCCUAAGGAACUGCUGCCGACAGCACUGACGACCUUGCAGCACAAGACCAUGCGGACAAGUUGUCGAAAGGCAGAUGUCACAGGCUCCAUCGUCGAGUUACACAACAUGUCGCAGUCUUGGAUUCUGCGGCGAACACUGAUGAUCAUGUAG